ACGAACGCUGGCGGCGUGCUUAACACAUGCAAGUCGAACGGAAAGGCCCUGCUUUUGUGGGGUGCUCGAGUGGCGAACGGGUGAGUAACACGUGAGUAACCUGCCCUUGACUUUGGGAUAACUUCAGGAAACUGGGGCUAAUACCGGAUAGGAGCUCCUGCUGCAUGGUGGGGGUUGGAAAGUUUCGGCGGUUGGGGAUGGACUCGCGGCUUAUCAGCUUGUUGGUGGGGUAGUGGCUUACCAAGGCUUUGACGGGUAGCCGGCCUGAGAGGGUGACCGGCCCCAUGGGAACUGGGGUACGGCCCGGACCCCAAGGGGAGGAAGGGGGGGGGAAUAUUGCACAAGGGGCGGAGGCCUGGUGCAGCAACGCCGGGGGGGGGAUGGCGGCCUUCGGGUUAGAAACCGUUUUGGCCGGUGACGAAGCGUGGGUGGGGGUAAUGGGAAAAAAAGCACCGGCAAACUAGGG
rnacentral:rRNA from 1 species